UACGGAAGGGGCAAGCGUUGUUCGGAAUCAUUGGGCGUAAAGGGCGCGCAGGUGGUUCUGUAUGUCUACCGUGAAAGCGUACGGCUCAACCGUAUUUUGUCGGUAGAAACUGCAGGACUUGAGGCUGGGAGGGGCUGGUGGAAUUCCCUGUGUAGCGGUGAAAUGCGUAGAGAUGGGGGAGAACACUCGUGGCGAAGGCGACCAGCUAGACCAGUUCUGACACUGAGGCGCGACAGCGUGGGGAGCAAACAGG
rnacentral:rRNA from 1 species